UUGGUAUUCUUUUGAAAGGUUGCUUUGCAUCGGUUGUUCUCGUUGGAAGCGAGGGUACGGACAACCUAGCUGCUGGUGAGUUUCUCUCUUUUAUGGGUGUGAUCCUUCGAUGGCAGAAAUUAUCUCAAAGGAUACAACAUUGUUUAUAUUGAAGGUUUAGAAAUUAGUUGAUCUCUCUCUAUCUCUCUCUCAUUUUUUUUUUUCCGGAGGGCAAAAAGGCUAUUGUCGAGGAAAUUCUGGUUCUGGUCGAAGCCAUCAAGGACGGAUCGAUGAAAGGGAAGGAAUUCGCAAUCUUAACGCUUCUGCAACUCUGUAUGUUCGGAACAGGGGUUUGCUUGUAAGGGAAAGUGGAAUCCUUCCGUUGGUCGCUCUCUCACAGUCGGGAAGUGCCCGAGCGAAGCACAAGGCUGAAACAUUACCUGGGUAUCUGAGAGAACCGAAGCAAGAGGCAUCCUCUUCUAAUCCUGUGGAGAGGUACAAUCCUACGUAGCUGCACAACUUUAAGGAUCAAUAUUAGCAAUUACUAUAUAUUUGGCGUUGAGAAGAGGGAUUUCUUUGGGUUAACACCAAUAGGUUCAGACAAAUGAGCAUUUGGGAUGGAGUUUUUUUUUAUCAUUGGUUUUUGUACAAUGUUUGUAGAAAACGAUUGUAUACAUUUUAGUUUUUAAAAGUUGAAUGAAAACAAUGAAUUCUUAUGUCC